rnacentral:rRNA from 1 species
GACAGAGGCCCCGAGCGUUAGGCGGAAUCACUGGGCUUAAAGCGUGUGUAGGCGGGCCCGUAAGUACCUUGUGAAAUCCCACGGCUCAACCGUGGAACGGCUGGGUAUACUGCGGGUCUUGGGCCAACUAGGGGCAGCCGGAACAAGCGGUGGAGCGGUGAAAUGCGUAGAUAUUGGGAGGAACACCAGUGGCGAAGGCGGCUCACUGGACCGGAACUGACGCUGAGGCGCGAAAGCGUGGGGAGCAAACAGG